rnacentral:tRNA from 1 species
GGUCACGUGAUGGAGUUGGUCACCAUACCUGUCUAACAAUUCUCUUCGCUUCACAGGAGGUCGGCAGUUCGAUCCUGCCCGGGAUCA